rnacentral:piRNA from 1 species
GUUGAGCAAUCUAGAGAUGUC